rnacentral:rRNA from 1 species
UACGUAGGGCGCAAGCGUUGUCCGGAAUUAUUGGGCGUAAAGAGCUCGUAGGCGGCUUGUCACGUCGGGUGUGAAAGCCCGGGGCUUAACCCCGGGUCUGCAUUCGAUACGGGCUGGCUAGAGUGUGGUAGGGGAGAUCGGAAUUCCUGGUGUAGCGGUGAAAUGCGCAGAUAUCAGGAGGAACACCGGUGGCGAAGGCGGAUCUCUGGGCCAUUACUGACGCUGAGGUGCGAAAGCGUGGGGAGCAAACAGG